UGUCAAUUCUUAUAAAAGCCCC
rnacentral:siRNA from 1 species